rnacentral:rRNA from 1 species
GCUGGCGGCGUGCCUAAUCAUGCAAGUCGAGCGAAUGAUAGGGAGCUUGCUCCCUUGAUUUAGCGGCGGACGGGUGAGUAACACGUGGGCAACCUACCUGUAAGACUGGGAUAACUUCGGGAGACCGGAGCUAAUACCGGAUAAUUUCUUUUCUCGCAUGAGAAGAGAUGGAAAGACGGUUUCGGCUGUCACUUACAGAUGGGCCCGCGGCGCAUUAGCUAGUUGGUGAGGUAAUGGCUCACCAAGGCCACGAUGCGUAGCCGACCUGAGAGGGUGAUCGGCCACACUGGGACUGAGACACGGCCCAGACUCCUACGGGAGGCAGUAGUAGGGAAUCUUCCGCAAUGGACGAAAGUCUGACGGAGCAACGCCGCGUGAACGAAGAAGGCCUUCGGGUCGUAAAGUUCUGUUGUUAGGGAAGAACAAGUACCAGAGUAACUGCUGGUACCUUGACGGUACCUAACCAGAAAGCCACGGCUAACUACGUGCCAGCAGCCGCGGUAAUACGUAGGUGGCAAGCGUUGUCCGGAAUUAUUGGGCGUAAAGCGCGCGCAGGUGGUUCCUUAAGUCUGAUGUGAAAGCCCACGGCUCAACCGUGGAGGGUCAUUGG